CCUUCCGGAAGCCAGCAGCGGACCUGCAACGGCUGUAGGUGUACAGCCGCGGAAGGCAGGAGGGCUGAAGGGUACCCGGGCCUGGCUCCGGCCUCUGGGUGCAGCACCAUGGACGAAGCAGGCAGCUGUACAAGCGGCGGAGGCUUCCGCCCGGGCGUGGACAGCCUAGACGAGCCGCCCAACAGCCGCAUCUUCCUGGUGAUCAGCAAGUACACGCCUGAGUCCGUACUGAGGGAGCGCUUCUCACCGUUUGGUGAGAUCCAGGAUAUCUGGGUGGUGCGGGACAAGCACACGAAGGAAUCCAAGGGCAUCGCUUUCGUCAAGUUCGCGCGUAGUUCGCAGGCCUGUAGGGCCAUGGAGGAGAUGCAUGGCCGGUGCCUCGGCCCCAACGACACCAAACCUAUCAAGGUUUUUAUUGCUCAGUCCAGGUCAUCUGGAAGUCACCGGGAUGUUGAAGAUGAAGAACUUACAAGAAUCUUUGUUAUGAUACCAAAGUCCUACACAGAAGAAGAUCUACGAGAAAAAUUUAAGGUGUACGGAGACAUUGAGUACUGCAGCAUUAUUAAGAACAAGGUCACUGGAGAAAGUAAAGGUCUGGGCUAUGUUCGAUACCUAAAGCCAUCACAAGCUGCCCAAGCAAUAGAAAACUGUGACCGAAGUUUUAGGGCAAUCUUGGCUGAACCCAAAAAUAAAGCAUCUGAAUCCUCAGAACAAGAUUAUUAUAAUAAUAUGAGGCAGGAGACUUUAGGACAUGAACCUAGAGUAAAUAUGUUUCCAUUUGAGCAACCAUCUGAAUUUUCAAAUUUUGACAAGAAUGACAACAGAGGCCAGGAAGCUAUCUCCAAACGCCUGUCGGUGGUGUCCAGGGUGCCUUUCACUGAAGAGCAGCUUUUUAGCAUUUUUGAUAUAGUACCAGGAUUGGAAUAUUGUGAAGUUCAACGAGAUCCUUAUUCAAAUUAUGGUCAUGGUGUGGUUCAGUAUUUUAAUGUAGCAUCAGCUAUUUAUGCAAAAUACAAGUUACAUGGAUUUCAGUACCCUCCUGGAAAUCGGAUAGGUGUUUCCUUCAUUGAUGAUGGGAGUAAUGCAACAGAUCUCCUUAGAAAAAUGGCAACGCAGAUGGUAGCUGCCCAGCUUGCAUCAAUGGUGUGGAAUAACCCAAGUCAGCAGCAAUUUCUGCAGUUUGGAGGAAGUUCUGGAUCACAGUUGUCCCAAAUCCAGACAGAUGUUGUGCUUCCACCAUGCAAAAAAAAGGCCCCUCCUGAAACUCCGGUGAAAGAAAGACUUUUUAUCGUGUUCAAUCCUCAUCCUUUACCUUUAGAUGUUCUAGAAGAUAUAUUCUGUCGUUUUGGUAACCUGAUUGAAGUUUACCUUGUGUCGGGAAAAAAUGUGGGGUAUGCCAAGUAUGCAGAUAGAAUAAGUGCUAAUGAUGCAAUUAAUACUUUACACGGAAAGAUCCUGAACGGAGUCAGACUUAAAGUUAUGCUGGCAGAUUCCCCAAGAGAAGAGUCUAACAAACGACAGAGAACUUACUGAUUUUUGAGCAUUUCCCCCCAGAAAUUCAGUAUGUGCUUGCAUCAUCCUUCCAGAAACAGUAACUCAAGAACACAUGGAUCCUGGGAACUGAAGGUAUGGUAUUGCUAGGGGUUCAGAUAGAAAUAUUUAGUUAAAAUAUGAAGUUGGCAGUUCAUUCAUUACAAUGACCAUGUUGAAUUUAUUUAAGAUGAAAAGACUUUUCGUCAGGAGAAUAUGCAGGUCUCACUGGACUGUGAGAAAGUCACCAGGUACUAUGAAAAUCCAUUCGAGUGAUUAUUACAGGAAAAGGAAGUCCUGUGACUGUCAUAUGUGAAUUGCAGCCAAUGUCUAGAUAUCAGGGUCCACAUGAGCUCGCUAAUGUGCAAGCCGACCAAGGCUGCAACUGAGGCAGCCUAGACUCUGCCUUUCUGACCUUAAUGCUGCAGAAGUGGUGCAAGGAAACCUCAUGAGAUUAUUUGGAAAAUUAUUUGUAUUUGAGAUACAGAAAUCAAACUGAAAAGGCAUGUACUGUUUUCCACAGAAAUUGGGAAAAUUAUUGAGCACAGUAGGAUAACCAAAGGGCUACUCAGAGAUACUUAUAUGAAUCUGCACUGUGAAUUUUCCUGCCUCUACUUCUAUUUCUGAUUUUGGAGAUAAAUGAUGUUACCACUGAUUUUCUUGCUCACUAUUAUCACUUUCCAGCAUUAAUAAUAUGUAUGUUACAGCAUUCUUUAGCACAGUUUUUAGGGAUUUUUGUUUGUUUAAUCUGUUACUCUUUGUUUUUUUAAUGCUAAAAGAAGAGAAUUAAAGUUAUCUACUUUAAAGUAACUAAAGUCAUCUAAUUUAUUGGAAAAUAUGAUAUAUAAAAUUACAUACAUUUUUUCAUCGACAAAGUUUGUCAUAUUGGAUUCUGAAGAUAGGCUUUGCAUCUCUAUAGUAUUGAUCCAUUGGCACAAAAGACUUUCUUCCUAUUCCAUAUUUGUACAUUAGUAACUUAAGAAAUCUUAAGUGCCAAUGUGUCAUUUGGUGGAAGGUAGAGACAGAGGUCACAGUUGGUUAGCUGACUGACUUUAGGAAGAAUCUACAAUAGUUGCUGAGAGAACUGGGACUGGCUGACCUGCUUUAGCAGUGUCAAAAUUGGACCAAGAAUGGCCAAAAAAAAAAAGAAGAAGAAGAAGAAGAGAGGGAGAGUGUAUACUUGGAUAAAUAGCAUCCAUAUUUGCGCCGUUAUCACAAACUCCCACCAAGGCACCAUCUCUGCUCAGUCCUUUCACUAGAAACUCUUAACAGGGUUUAUUUGCUACCAUUUUAACUCUAAAUCUGGGAUUUAUAGGCACUGCAGUAUAGUCCCAUCUUGCACCAGCCCAGUCUUAUUUCACUGCAAUAACUCAGUUAUUU